AUCUGUUUGCCUAAAGAGCUCAUUGAAGAAUCACCUUUUUUUCCUUCUAGGCAACAGUGAUUUUGGAGCUGAUCCUUUCUUGUCUCCAAGAAUGAUCUCGGCUUCAUGACUCCAUAUAUUCUGUAUACUAAAAAAGAAGAUUGACUCAGAUAAGGAAAUUUUGGUUGUUUCCGGUGUUGGCUGUUACGAAUAAAGUGAUACUUUUUGUUUCUCUUGGGUAAAUCUACACACAUUGACUUUCUAGGUUCUGGGGUACAUGCGCAGAUCAUGCAGUAUUGUUGCAUAGGUACGUACAUGGCAAUGUGGUUUGCUGCCUUCAUCCCC
rnacentral:lncRNA from 1 species